UCCCAAUGAUGAUAUCCUUGAGGCUUGUUUCUCAAAACAUUCGCAGUGGCCGCCUGAGGGCUUUCGCCUUCGCCAGGCUUGAGAGCCAAUGCUGCCUUUUUCCUUCCUUGGAUGUCUGAGUCU